GGUUGUUAUCAAACCAGCAUUAAUGCACCCGAUCCCAUUAGAACUCUGCAGUUAAGCUUGCUUGGGUGAGAGUAGUACCAUUAUGGGUGACCUCCUGGGAAGUCCUCGUGUUGCACCCA
rfam:Gossypium arboreum cultivar AKA8401 contig_17731_1, whole genome shotgun sequence.